rnacentral:lncRNA from 1 species
AUGGGGAUGGGGACAGGGAUGCCCCCAUCCACACCAACACACCCACAAGAGCUCCCCAUGGCAACAUCCCCCUGCCAAAACUGGAGAGCGGGUGGGGGGCUCACCCUCCUUGCCGUGCCACCCCAAAAGCACAGGGCAGGGGGAUUUGGGGACCUUGCUACCACCUACCCACCACCACCCCAUGCCCUGUUCUGGGGCAUCCCAGCCUCUCGGCACGUGAGGCAGCAAAGAAGCAAAGAGAUGAGCCAUGGGGCGGCUCUGACGCAGCAGCUCGGAGCCGGGCAGCUGGGCUCUCCAGCCAUCCCCAUGGAGCAGCAAUGGGGUGGAGAGCGGGGUGCCGAGCAGGGCGCUGAGCGCGGCUCCUCUCCUCCUUCCCCAGCCGUGACUCAGGCAGGAAUUCACCGCCCUGAGGGCUGCAGCGGUGUCACCGCUCUGGGAUGCUUGGGCCGGGCCCUUUGCGCAGCCCAAACUCCCUGGUUUUAUUGCCUAGCUGUCUGCCCCGACAGCCGGGGAGCCAGCUCAGCUGGAAACCUCCCCGGCAGGUCCUUGCUGCUCGGCCAGAAGGUGCAGGGAGGCUGCUCCCGGCUCCCCGUUAGCGUCACCCCGCCUUGCACAAGCCCUGCCGCCGGCGCAGAGCCGCCCAGCCACGCCGCUUGGGUGCUUUUUGGUGGCGGUCGGGGCUGGGAAGGGCUUUUGGGGAAGACGCCGGCGCUGCCCGAUGCCACCCAAAGGCUGCUUUGCGCUGAUUUGAGGCUCCCAAAGGGCAUCGCUGCCCCGGCGGGGGGGGGCUCCGUGAAUCCCUGUGGAUUUGGUGAUGCCCAGGCGCUGUGGGAGCCGGCACGGGGAAGCCCCAGGAGCGUGGCAGUGGCUGCAGCGGGGUCAGACCUCGCACGGGGACCGGGGGCUGCCCGGGGCAGGUGGCAGCAGAGCCCCCGCAGGGGCCCGGGGCUCGUCCCCCAGCCCUUCCUCCCCUCCCUGCAGCCUUUGUGCCGCCUCCGAGCAGGCACCUCCGGGGUGAACGCAUUAAGGAAACACAAAGCAGAUCCCAGACACAUUUCGGCUGCAAUUUUCUCUGCUCCAUUAUUGACAAACAAGCUGCUUCUCGCAGGUGACGGCGAGGCCAGCUCGGCAGCUGGGGCACCGCGGCGUGCGCCGGCCCCGUGCCGUGCCAGCUGGCCUGCCCUGCUCAGCCCCCGCCACGGGGCACGAAGGAUGCUCAACCCCCCCCACCUCCCCGGCCCCCCAAAUCACUCCUGGGUCACCCAGAUCCAGCAGCAGCAUCCCUGCAACAUGCAGCAGGGAGAGAGCCAGCUGGGAGCACCCCACCUUGGGGGGCAGCACCGUGGGGCACAGCCACGUCCUCCCCAAAAUCAGAGCCCUGCUCCUGAUCCCCCCCCCUCCCCGGAGCAGGGGCUGCUCCCCGGCCGGGGCUCAGCGCCGCGCCGAGUCUGUCGUUAG